rnacentral:rRNA from 1 species
GAUGAACGCUCGCGGCGUGCUUAACACAUGCAAGUCGAACGGAAAGGCUCCUGCUUGCAGGGGUACUCGAGUGGCGAACGGGUGAGUAACACGUGGGUGAUCUGCCCUGCACUUCGGGAUAAGCCUGGGAAACUGGGUCUAAUACCGGAUAGGACGAUGGUUUGGAUGCCAUUGUGGAAAGUUUUUCGGUGUGGGAUGAGCUCGCGGCCUAUCAGCUUGUUGGUGGGGUAAUGGCCUACCAAGGCGUCGACGGGUAGCCGGCCUGAGAGGGUGUACGGCCACAUUGGGACUGAGAUACGGCCCAGACUCCUACGGGAGGCAGCAGUGGGGAAUAUUGCACAAUGGGCGCAAGCCUGAUGCAGCGACGCCGCGUGGGGGAUGACGGCCUUCGGGUUGUAAACUCCUUUCGCUAGGGACGAAGCGCAAGUGACGGUACCUGGAGAAGAAGCACCGGCUAACUACGUG